rnacentral:rRNA from 1 species
UAUCAAUAAGCGGAGGAAAAGAAACCAACAGGGAUUGCCUCAGUAGCGGCGAGUGAAGCGGCAAGAGCUCAGAUUUGAAAUCGUGCUUUGCGGCACGAGUUGUAGAUUGCAGGUUGGAGUCUGUGUGGAAGGCGGUGUCCAAGUCCCUUGGAACAGGGCGCCCAGGAGGGUGAGAGCCCCGUGGGAUGCCGGCGGAAGCAGUGAGGCCCUUCUGACGAGUCGAGUUGUUUGGGAAUGCAGCUCCAAGCGGGUGGUAAAUUCCAUCUAAGGCUAAAUACUGGCGAGAGACCGAUAGCGAACAAGUACUGUGAAGGAAAGAUGAAAAGCACUUUGAAAAGAGAGUGAAACAGCACGUGAAAUUGUUGAAAGGGAAGGGUAUUGCGCCCGACAUGGGGAUUGCGCACCGCUGCCUCUCGUGGGCGGCGCUCUGGGCUUUCCCUGGGCCAGCAUCGGUUCUUGCUGCAGGAGAAGGGGUUCUGGAACGUGGCUCUUCGGAGUGUUAUAGCCAGGGCCAGAUGCUGCGUGCGGGGACCGAGGACUGCGGCCGUGUAGGUCACGGAUGCUGGCACGAACGGCGCAACACCGCCCGUCUUGAAACACGGACCAAAAA